CUAUAGUCGAGAUGUGGUUUAACCAGCCUCUACACGCCUACGCCGACACUACCACACAUUCUGAUGAGGCUCAGCAUGUUGCUCUCAGCAUCAAUCUUCACACUCUUGAAUCAUGUGCCAGCUCUGUGAUACUAUUGGACUGAUCUGCAGUGUUGCCAGAUUUGACUGAUAUCAAAUCGUCCAAUCAGUGACUCAAACCUGCCCAGUCAUCAUUAAACCUGUCUCAAACCUG